UACCCUACGGGACGCAGCAGUGAGGAAUAUUGGUCAAUGGGCGCGAGCCUGAACCAGCCAAGUCGCGUGAGGGAAGACGGUCCAAUGGGUUGUAAACCUCUUUUGUCAGGGAGCAACGCCGGCUACGUGUAGCCGGACUGAGAGUACCUGAAGAAAAAGCAUCGGCUAACUCCGUGCCAGCAGCCGCGGUAAUACGGAGGAUGCGAGCGUUAUCCGGAUUUAUUGGGUUUAAAGGGUACGUAGGCGGAAUGCCAAGUCAGCGGUAAAAUCGCGGGGCUCAACCUCGCUCCGCCGUUGAAACUGGC
rnacentral:rRNA from 1 species